rnacentral:rRNA from 1 species
CGACCGGCGCACGGGUGAGUAACGCGUAUGCAACUUACCUAUCAGAGGGGGAGAGCCCGGCGAAGUCGGAUUAAUACCCAUAAAACAGGGGUCCCGCAUGGGAAUAUUUGUUAAAGAUUCAUCGCUGAUAGAUAGGCAUGCGUUUCAUUAGGCAGUUGGCGGGGUAACGGCCCACCAAACCGACGAUGGAUAGGGGUUCUGAGAGGAAGGUCCCCCACAUUGGUACUGAGACACGGACCAA